AGCUCACCCCAUUGCAGGGUUUCGAACUGCCGACCUGAUUGGCAAGCCCAAGAGGCUCAGUGGUUUAGACCACAGUGCCACCCAUUUAAUUGUAGAAAAAAAUCUCAAAGGGGAAAGACUGAUUCCAUGCGAUCCUGCUUAGUUUACAAGGCCAGCAGUGUCUUUGUAGCAGAUCAACACGUGAAGGAGAUAAGAUUUCACAGCUGAAGUGGAAAUCUCUGCACUUCUGUACACAAGGGGUCUGAAGUGUGCAGAGGGAGGGGCUGUACCUGCGAGCUAUUAAAAUGAGGGCCUUGAGUGGUACACAGUGUUAGUCAUACUCGGGGUAGACCCAUUGCAGUGGGCCUAAUCAGCAUGUGGCUACCACUGAAUACUGUCUGUUGCCUUUUCUCUUACUUCAGAUCAACUCUGCCUUCAUGCUUUCACCGUGUUCCAGCAGUCCAGCUCUCCACCGUAGAGCAAGAUUUAAUUGCCAAAGUGUGGCUGGCCACAAUUUGUCAGUAGAGGGAGCUGGUGUGUGUAGUGUUUUGUUGCAGGUGCGCCUUCAAGACGUAAUCUAUUAGAACAGGGCAGUCCAACAACUCCUACCAAGCGGGCAGCAAGAAUAAUUUGACACGGAACCCACAGGCCACACACGGAAUUAAAUUUCCAUAUCGUUAAUUAUAAAGUGUUUGCAGUAUAGUUGAUAUUAUUUAAUAUACAUGAUAUAUUUAUGUAUGUAUAACUACAUAACUAAUAGAUUAGAUUUAAUUUAUUAAACAAGUUUAAUACACAAACACAGGGUGUGUCACUGGCAGAGAAAGAUGCACAGCACAGAAAUACAGAAGAACCCGGGAUCAGGGUUUGUGAGAGAAUCUUGAAAUCCCACCUGAGGAAGAUCUGAGGUCGGGUAUAAGAGCAGCCCUGAAACAAUUGCCACCAUGUCCCAUCUCUCCCACUCAGUUGCAGUCCAGCCUACCUCUCUCCUUGCCCAUCCUGGAGAGGAUGGAGGGAAGAGGCAGAAAGUCACAGGUUCAAGAUCCUCUUUCCUUACUAAUAUAUAAUAAUAAUAAUAAAUUUUAUUUAUUCCCCAGCCAAGACCGGGCUCAGGGUGGCUAACAACCAAUAAUAAAAACAAGUUGAUU